rnacentral:rRNA from 1 species
UACAAUGGAGAGUUUGAUCCUGGCUCAGGAUGAACGCUAGCGGCAGGCCUAAUACAUGCAAGUCGAACGAUAGUUGGGGCUUGCCCCAACGAAAAGUGGCGCACGGGUGCGUAACGCGUAUGCAACCUACCUUCAUCUGGGGGAUAGCCCGGAGAAAUCCGGAUUAAUACCGCAUAAAAUCACAGAAUGGCAUUAUUCAAUGAUCAAACAUUUAUGGGAUGGAGAUGGGCAUGCGUGUCAUUAGCUAGUUGGCGGGGUAACGGCCCACCAAGGCGACGAUGACUAGGG